GACGAACGCUGGCGGCGUGCCUAACACAUGCAAGUCGAGCGAGAGACUUCGGUCUCUAGCGGCGGACGGGUGAGUAACACGUGGGUAACCUGCCUCGUAGUGGGGGAUAGCCUUCCGAAAGGAAGAUUAAUACCGCAUAACAUAGUUUAACCGCAUGGUUAGAUUAUCAAAGGAGUAAUCCGCUAUGAGAUGGACCCGCGGCGCAUUAGCUAGUUGGUGAGGUAAUGGCUCACCAAGGCGACGAUGCGUAGCCGACCUGAGAGGGUGAUCGGCCACAUUGGAACUGAGAUACGGUCCAAACUCCUACGGGAGGCAGCAGUGGGGAAUAUUGCACAAUGGGCGAAAGCCUGAUGCAGCAACGCCGCGUGAGUGAUGAAGGCCUUCGGGUUGUAAAGCUCUGUCUUUGGGGACGAUAAUGACGGUACCCAAGGAGGAAGCCACGGCUAACUACGUGCCAGCAGCCGCGGUAAUACGUAGGUGGCAAGCGUUGUCCGGAUUUACUGGGCGUAAAGGAUGCGUAGGUGGAUAUUUAAGUCAGAUGUGAAAUACCCGAGCUUAACUUGGGUGCUGCAUUUGAAACUGGAUAUCUAGAGUGCAGGAGAGGUAAGUGGAAUUCCUAGUGUAGCGGUGAAAUGCGUAGAGAUUAGGAAGAACACCAGUGGCGAAGGCGACUUACUGGACUGUAACUGACACUGAGGCAUGAAAGCGUGGGGAGCAAACAGGAUUAGAUACCCUGGUAGUCCACGCCGUAAACGAUGAGUACUAGGUGUAGGAGGUAUCGACUCCUUCUCGCCGCAGUUAACACAAUAAGUACUCCGCCUGGGAAGUACGGUCGCAAGAUUA
rnacentral:rRNA from 1 species